rnacentral:rRNA from 1 species
GGCCUAACACAUGCAAGUCGAACGAGCCCUUCGGGGCUAGUGGCGGACGGGUGAGUAACACGUGGGAACGUACCUUUAGGUUCGGAACAACACAGGGAAACUUGUGCUAAUGCCGAAUAAGCCCUUCGGGGGAAAGAUUUAUCGCCUUUAGAGCGGCCCGCGUCUGAUUAGCUUGUUGGUGAGGUAAAGGCUCACCAAGGCUACGAUCAGUAGCUGGUCUGAGAGGAUGAUCAGCCACACUGGGACUGAGACACGGCCCAGACUCCUACGGGAGGCAGCAGUGGGGAAUCUUGCGCAAUGGGCGAAAGCCUGACGCAGCCAUGCCGCGUGAAUGAUGAAGGUCUUAGGAUUGUAAAAUUCUUUCACCGGGGAAGAUAAUGACGGUACCCGGAGAAGAAGCCCCGGCUAACUUCGUGCCAGCAGCCGCGGUAAUACGAAGGGGGCUAGCGU